rnacentral:lncRNA from 1 species
UCAUGUAUAAUAUUUGAAUAGCUGCCUCAGAAUGGAUAAUUUUAGGAGUCCUAUCUAUUAUUAUUGUAUUAGCCAUUUCAAACUUAGCUGCUUGCUUUCCAGCUUAGUUAGAGGGACAAGUUGUCUAUUUAAGUGCAAUGUUAGAUGCCAACUUAUUUUUGUUAAGGGCAUUUACCCACUUCAGCGAAGGUUGCAUUUCCCUUUAUUUCCC